GAGGAGAGGAGUAAGGAGAAAUUUGGACACAGUCAUACAGUCCAAAGAAACUGUAAAGAGCCUGUCACAGGUCUGUGUCAGGGGAGUUUGCUGUCACUGAUGAGGAUGCACAUCAUAUGCAAAAAUAUUUUGCAUGUACAGUAUGGCAAGAUGCUACCAGAUACCUUGAUUGUUAAAGAUGCAGCAAACUUUUUAUAGGUGGAGAAGGGAGAUAGAAGAUGGAAUGAAUGGUGGAUAAAAACUCUCCAGUUGCUUCAAGGAGGGCUUCACUAGUAUUGUGCAUGAGCUUGCACCAAGAAAAAUCCUUUUGGCCAAAAUAUAAAUUGAAGCAAGAGAGGAGAUGCUUGCAG